rnacentral:lncRNA from 1 species
GAGAAGGUCAUGCACAAUUUAUAAUGCUUUAAGGAAUGAUAAAGAGAUGAUAAAUAUGCAAGAAAAAGCUGGAGUGUAUGAGAUCCCUCCCAGAAAUCUUGAUCAGCAGAAAGAUGAACUGUAUAUUGGAGCAACAACUAGGAAUCUUACAAAAAAGGAUCUUAGAGCAUAAAAAUGAUGUUAAUAAAGCUAACAUGAGGACUGCCUUCUCAAAACGAGCAUAUGAGAAUGAUCUAUUAAUUGAUUGGGAUAAUUUUAGAAUAAUCAAGCAAGGCCUAAACGACAAGGAGUUGCCUAUAGCUGAGUCAAUUCAGAUUUACAAAGAUAGACGGAC